rnacentral:lncRNA from 1 species
UAAAAUUAAUAUCCAAAUCAACACAUAAAAAUCACACAGAUUUUUACACACCUCUUUCGCCACGGAAUGUAUUACGAUUAUCAGGAUCUGAUCUCGACUUGUUUUACAAACUCUUCGAUCCGCCAAGAAUCUGUCAUGCAUGUUAUUCUUUCUCAUUGCGAACCGGCUACCAGAGUCGCUUGGAGCACACCGCCCAAAUCCCUAGGGUUUCAGAUGGUGCCUUAGAGCAAACUUAAGAGAGAGAAUUUUUGUAGAGAAAUUAAACUAAUUUUUGG